GCAUUCCAUUGUGAUCAAGGCAACAGUCCCACUUGAAAGAAAUACCACACAUCACUUUUGAUCCUUAGUAAUGAUGGCCAAACACACGAGGAAUGGUGUCCAAGCAGUUAUACUAGUUUCUUUUGUCCUUGUGGUGUGCUUUUCCUGUCUGGGAUGCACAAAUGGUGAAAGCAUAAACGGCAAGAGGAGCAACGGGAUGAUCGAAGUGAGCCAAGUAGUCCGCCCCCCUUGUUACAAAGACCAUCACCAGCCCCCAGAAUUGCAAUAUUGUUGUCACACGGAUAAGAUAUGUUGGAUAGACCUUGGGGAAUGCUUCACAAACUGCCCGUGCAAGAUCAAUUGCCCACUGCCACCAGCAGCACAGUAGUUGUGUCAUCUCUCAUUCUUUGGCUUAAUAAAUCCCAACCUUAUGGACCCUGAGAUAAUCAUGUGUUGAUCAGCUAGCAAAUUUGCUAGAGAAAAAUAAUCCAGAAAUUACAUAUGCGGUUUAAAUAUUUAAUAAAAAACUACUGAGUUGCUCCCCUUA